rnacentral:rRNA from 1 species
AUUGAACGCUGGCGGCAUGCCUUACACAUGCAAGUCGAACGGCAGCACGGGAGCAAUCCUGGUGGCGAGUGGCGAACGGGUGAGUAAUACAUCGGAACGUGCCCUGUAGUGGGGGAUAACUAGUCGAAAGACUGGCUAAUACCGCAUACGACCUGAGGGUGAAAGUGGGGGACCGCAAGGCCUCAUGCUAUAGGAGCGGCCGAUGUCUGAUUAGCUAGUUGGUGGGGUAAAGGCCUACCAAGGCGACGAUCAGUAGGUGGUCUGAGAGGACGAUCAGCCACACUGGGACUGAGACACGGCCCAGACUCCUACGGGAGGCAGCAGUGGGGAAUUUUGGACAAUGGGGGCAACCCUGAUCCAGCAAUGCCGCGUGUGUGAAGAAGGCCUUCGGGUUGUAAAGCACUUUUGUCCGGAAAGAAAUCGCUUCGGUUAAUACCUGGAGUGGAUGACGGUACCGGAAGAAUAAGGACCGGCUAACUACGUGCCAGCCGCCGCAGUAAAAC